AUUGAACGCUGGCGGCAGGCCUAACACAUGCAAGUCGAACGAGUGGCGGACGGGUGAGUAAUGUCUGGGAAACUGCCUGAUGGUGGGGGAUAACCACUGGAAACGGUAGCUAAUCCCGCAUACCAUCGGAUGUGCCCAUAUGGGAUUAGCUAGUUGGUGGGGUAAAGGCACACCUAGGCGACGAUCCCUAGCUGGUCUGAGAGGAUGACCAGCCACACUGGAACUGAGACACGGUACAGCCUACUACGGGAGGCAGCAGUGGGGAAUAUUGCACAAUGGGCGGAAGCCUGAUGCAGACAUGCCGAGUGUAUGAAGAAGGCCUUCGGGUUGUAAAGUACUUUCAGUGGGGAAGAGGUACCAGAAGAAGAAGCACCGGCUAACUCCGUGCCAGCAGCCGCGGUAAUUC
rnacentral:rRNA from 1 species